AUACGGAGGGGGCUAGCGUUAUUCGGAAUUACUGGGCGUAAAGCGCGCGUAGGCGGCUUGUUUAGUCAGAUGUGAAAGCCCCGGGCUUAACUCGGGAACUGCAUUUGAUACUGACAGGCUGGAGUCCGGUAGAGGGUAGCGGAAUUCCCAGUGUAGAGGUGAAAUUCGUAGAUAUUGGGAAGAACACCAGUGGCGAAGGCGGCUACCUGGAUCGGAACUGACGCUAAGGCGCGAAAGCGUGGGGAGCAAACAGGAUUAGAAACCCCGGUAGUCC
rnacentral:rRNA from 1 species